AACGAACGCUGGCGGCAUGCCUAACACAUGCAAGUCGAACGAGACCUUCGGGUCUAGUUGCUCACGGGUGCGUAACGCGUGGGAAUCUGCCCUUGGGUUCGGGAUACCAGUUUGACACGACUGCUAAUACCGGGUGAUUACUUCGGUCCCAAGAUUUAUCGCCCAGGGAUGAGCCCGCGUUGGAUUAGCUUGUUGGUGAGGUAAGAGCGCACCACGGCGUCGAUCCGUAGCUGGGCUGAGAGGAAGAGUAGCCACACUGGGACUGAGAAACGGCCGAGACUACUACGGGAGGGAGGAGUGGGGGAUAUAGGAAAAUGGGGGGAAGGAUGAACGAGCAAGGGUGGGUGAGUGAUGAAGGCGUUAGGGUAGUAAAGCAGUUUUACACGGGAUGAUAAUGACAGUACCGGGAGAAUAAGCCCCGGCUAACUCCGUG
rnacentral:rRNA from 1 species